AUGACGGCGACAACGACCUGUCAGGCAGCUCCACUCGCCCUCCCGCACUGCGGCAAGAGCAGCACCGGCCACAAAGCCGCGCCCUCCAAGUCCAGCAAGGCGGGCGGGUUGAGUGAUAUCCCAAAGAACCUCAGGGAGCUGCUCAUCACCAGCUUGCUCCAGGGCCAGCCCGUCAACUACUUCAUGACGAAAGGGAAGCGACCAGUACUCCGUGGAGUCAUUAAAGGCUCAGGCAUAUCGUGCUCUUGCACUUCAUGUAAAGGCCGAAAUGUUGUUUCAUCUUUUUAUUUCGAGGUGCCUGCUGGGAGUCAUAAAAAGCGCCCCACUGAUUACAUUUUCCUGGAAAUUGGAAAUACUCUGCAUGAUGUAUUGAGGGUGUGCACAGGAAUCAUUUGA
rnacentral:rRNA from 1 species